UUCUAAAUAAGUACAAUUAUUUAUGUACUGUUUAUUACAUAUUCUACUGUGUAUAUAUCACCUAUCUUGCUUUAUUCAAUUAACAUGACUUAAUUUUUUUGUUUCCAUAAAUAUUUCUAAUGGCUCAAUGGUGGGCUAUCCUUGUUUGCAUAUCUAUUUCUAUAUGGUUGGAAAUUUUAAUUUUUUAAAAUUCUGUUUUAUUACAAAUAAUGUCAAUUUGUUUGCCUUUACUCAUAAGGUUUGUAUUAUUUUUAAUGAAUUUUAGCCUAGAUUCCCAGGAGUAGAAUUUAAGGAUCCAGAUAUUCUAAAUCCAGGGUUCUUGGCGAUCAGAAACUGGAGUCUACGGAGGAUUCAUAGAGAGAGGAGAUAUCAAAGCUAAAUUUCCAGCUUUAAUUUAUGUCUCUUUACUUUCCACACAGCAUUAGGUUUUCCAUGGAUGGCGUAGAAAUAGGAGACAACAUCAAGGAAUCUUGGACAACUGUUUUAUCAGGCCAGCCCUGUCCAGUAAUGCUCGACUGAAAAUGAGAAAAUCUAUUGUGACUACAAAACUGUGAGCAUAAACAAGCUAAUAAAUAUGAAAAUUGCACAAGAACUAUAUAGUACAUUCAGAGAUCAGUUUCAACUGGUGUUAAUGAGACUCAACAUGCCAUCAAGAGCCUUGUUUCUUUCCUACCCUCCCAUAGUGUCAUCUUCAUACAAGGUCAAUUCUAAUUAAAGUCUCAAAACUUCCCAAUACUUCUGGAGCUACAAGUCCAAGGAGAGAGAAGUUGGCUCUCUUCUAGAAAGGUGACAAAGUAAAGAAAUAUUCUUCCUUGUGGCACUCAGCAAACAUCAUCUACAAAUCUUGUUAGCCCAAAUUGGAUUGCACAUUCCCUGACCCAAUGCUGGCUAUAUAAUUUGUGGAGUUCAGUGUAACAUGAAAAUAAAGGGUUCAAAAAUCAGUUUUUAAAAUGCCCCAUUAGGAGUUCCCGUCGUGGUGCAGUGGUUAACGAAUCCGACUAGGAACCACGAGGUUGCAGGUUUGGUCCCUGCCCUUGCUCAGUGGGUUAACGAUCCGGCGUUGCGGCUCGGAUCCCGUGUUGCUGUGGCUCUGGCGUAGGCCAGUGGCUACAGCUCCGAUUGGACCCCUAGCCUGGGAACCUCCAUAUGCCGCGAGAGCGGCCCAAGAAAUGGCAAAAAAGACCAAUAAAUAAAUAAAUAAAUAAAAUGCCCCAUUAAAUGUUGUAAAAUAUAAAGAUUUUUCAUUUUUUCUAUGAUCUCUCACUUGUCAUGGUGUUUUAUAUUUGCCAUUUAAUGUUAUUCUAAGCAAAUAAAAAUAAAAUUUUUAAUUAUUAGCAAGCAUUU
rnacentral:lncRNA from 9 species